AUCUCAAAUCAGGUAGGACA
rnacentral:rRNA from 1 species